rnacentral:rRNA from 1 species
AUUGAACGCUGGCGGCAUGCCUUACACAUGCAAGUCGAACGGUAACGCGGGGCAACCUGGCGACGAGUGGCGAACGGGUGAGUAAAGCAGCGGAACGUGCCCAGCAGUGGGGGAUAGCCCGGCGAAAGCCGGAUUAAUACCGCACACGACCAAUGGGUGAAAGGGGGGGAUCGCAAGACCUCUUGCUAUUGGAGCGGCCGAUGUCAGAUUAGGUAGUUGGUGGGGUAAAGGCCUACCAAGCCGACGAUCUGUAGCUGGUCUGAGAGGACGACCAGCCACACUGGGACGGAGACACGGCCCAGACUCCUACGGGAGGCAGCAGUGGGGAAUUUUGGACAAUGGGCGCAAGCCUGAUCCAGCCAUGCCGCGUGCGGGAAGAAGGCCUUCGGGUUGUAAACCGCUUUUGUCAGGGAAGAAAUCCUUUGGGUUAAUACCUGGGGGGAUGACGGUACCUGAAGAAUAGGCACCGGCUAACUACGUGCCAGCAGCCGCGGUAAAAC